AUAUGAUUAUCUUUUAACUACAUACAUGCAUUCAACUUUUGUAAAUUCUUUUACAUUCUUGCAUCAUUUCUUUUUACAUCACAUAAUUACCAAAAUAAACCUUUUUGCAUUUAACAUAAGUUCUUUUACAUCAUUCAUAUUCUCCAAAAUAGGCCUUUACAUUCUUUCAUUUAAACAUCUAUAAUCAUCAAGUACAAAAGAUGAUAUAUAAAGGGUAUGCAACUACACAAAAUAUAACCAACGAGGGUGGUUACUGCCUAUUGCGCGAUACAUUUACCGCGAUCGU
rnacentral:lncRNA from 1 species